rfam:Myotis brandtii contig240279, whole genome shotgun sequence.
GGCAGUUCUUGGGUGACGCACCCUGGAAUAGGGCUCCCACCUCUCUGGUUCCGGGUAUGUCACCCGAGAACCACA